GACGGCGUCGGGAUCGUCACCAGGAUCGGCUUCGUGUGGCUGCAGGGGAGCCGCCUGGACUGUGAGGCCAAACAGUGGCGGUGAGGCCACACCCCCUCCUCCAUAAGCCCCGCCCACUUCCCCUGUCAUUUCUGGGAUCAGGCCACGCCACGCCCCUCUCCUAUAGCCCCGCCCACUUCCCCUUCCACUUCCGGGAUCAGGCCACGCCCCCUCCCCCAUAAACCCCGCCCCUUCCCUGUCAUAAAUGGAGUCAGGCCACGCCCAUUCAUUAAGCCCCGCCCCUCUAGUGUCAUCGAUUGUGACAGGCCACGCCCCUUUCCCAAGCCCCGCCCCUCCAUUACCAUCUAUACUGACAAGCCACGCCCAUUCUUUGAAACCCCGCCCCCUCCCUUGCUACC